GUGGUAAUGCCGGAUGCUCCAGUUGAUCGCAUGGUCUUCUGGGAAAGCUUUCGCGGUAUGGGAUGGGGUCGCGUCCUAUCAGCUUGACGGCGGGGUAACGGCCCACCGUGGCUUCGACGGGUAGCCGGCCUGAGAGGGCGACCGGCCACAUUGGGACUGAGAUACGGCCCAGACUCCUACGGGAGGCAGCAGUGGGGAAUAUUGCACAAUGGGCGCAAGCCUGAUGCAGCGACGCCGCGUGAGGGAUGGAGGCCUUCGGGUUGUAAACCUCUUUUAUCGGGGAGCAAGCGAGAGUGAGUUUACCCGUUGAAUAAGCACCGGCUAACUACGUGCCAGCAGCCGCGGUAAUACGUAGGGUGCAAGCGUUAUCCGGAAUUAUUGGGCGUAAAGGGCUCGUAGGCGGUUCGUCGCGUCCGGUGUGAAAGUCCAUCGCUUAACGGUGGAUCCGCGCCGGGUACGGGCGGGCUUGAGUGCGGUAGGGGAGACUGGAAUUCCCGGUGUAACGGUGGAAUGUGUAGAUAU
rnacentral:rRNA from 3 species